rnacentral:rRNA from 1 species
GAGUUUGAUCCUGGGCCUCAGGGAUGAAUGUUGGCGGUGUGCCUGAAGAUAUGCAAGUCGAACGUCUUUUUUCCGCAAGGAAAAAGGUAGUGGCGGACGGCUGAGUAACACAUAGGGACUUACCCCUUUUUGAAGGAUAGCCCAUCGAAAGGUGGGAUAAUACUUCAUGGCAUGGAUACCGUAAGGUAUUUGUUAAAGAGAUUAACUUCUCGAAAAGGGAUGGACCUGUGGCUUAUCAGAUAGUUGGUGGGGUAACGGCCUACCAAGUCUACGACGAGUAGCUGGCCUGAGAAGGUGGUCAGCCAGAGGGGGACUGAGACACGGCCCCCACUCCUACGGGAGGCAGCAAUCAGGAAUAGUCGGCAAUGGACGAAAGUCUGACCGCGCGACACCGCGUGUAGGAAUAAGCUCUAACGAGCGUAAACUACUGUGAUAGAGGAAAAAGUCCCGCCUAUGGCGGGAUUGAUGGUACUCUAUAAGAAAGGGGCCGCUAACUGCGUGCCAGAAGCGUCGGUAAUACGUGGGCCCCAAACAUUAUCCGGUUUUACUGGGUGUAAAAAGUAGUGUAGGUGUUUCGCCAAGUUUCAUUUCAAAUACUGCGGCUCAACCGUAGGAAGGGGUGGAAAACUGGCGAAAUAGAGUUUGCUUUAGAGAAACUGGAACUCAGGGAGGAGUAGUGAAAUGCGUUGAUACCCUGGGGAACACCAGUGGCGAAGGCGAGUUUCUGAAAGCAGACUGACACUGAGACACGAAAGCUAGGGGAGCGAAGCAGAUUAGAGACCUGCGUAGUCCUAGCCCUAAACGUAUGCUUGCUAGCCGCAUUCUUCUAUCCGCAAGGAUUGAGGGGUGUAGCGAA